rnacentral:rRNA from 1 species
AUGACCCUCGGCAACGGAUAUCUCGGCUCUCGCAUCGAUGAAGAACGUAGCGAAAUGCGAUACCUGGUGUGAAUUGCAGAAUCCCGCGAACCAUCGAGUCUUUGAACGCAAGUUGCGCCCGAGGCCACUCGGCCGAGGGCACGCCUGCCUGGGCGUCACGC